CGUCCCCACCUCUUGGGUCCGGGCACAUCAUCCCUGUCCGCUCGCGAGCGACGCGAGGCGAGGCGAGGCGAGCGCUCCGCCGCCGCGCCGCCUGCUCUGCCUCCCUGCUUGUGCUGCCGCUUCACCUGCGCUCCUAGGCUCGGCUCGGCGCUGCCGUUCCACCCCCGUCUAGACGCCACCCCUGCAGCUCCCCGUUGGUGAUGCUGCUCCGCCUCCGCACCCCCACGGCAUCCGAUCUGCGACGACGGCACCACCUCGGCCGCCGCCGCCGCCUCCAGAGCCACCACGGUGCCUCCACUUCAUCUUCUUCCUCGUCAUAUUUCCUCUCCUCUCCUAUAUUGCCUAGGGUUUGAUCUCCUCUCUCCUGAUUCCUAGAUCUUGUUUAGAUCUUGGUGAUUUUUUAUCUGAUUGGCUGUCAUCUCCAAGAUUCGCAACCUGCUGAUCACUUGAAUCGACAUUGUUGGCCUAGGUAUAUCUACGAGUAGUGCUAUAGAUGGCACUAUCGAGAGAAAUUGGUGCUGGAGCAUCUUUCAUGUGUGAUAAGCCUCCCAUCUGUUUGCCGGUUAAUUCUUGGCCUCCCAUCGCAGAUAGAAGUACUGUGCAUGCAGAUUUUGGGAAUAAGGGUACACUUGCUUGAGUGGUUUGUUAAUUACUUACCCAUAUUUACUUGAGUUUCUGACCUUUGCAGCUUCUAGAUUUUAUAUAUACACUUUCUUUGACUUCCCUGUUAUUCAACAUGGUCGGAUAUAGCUUCUUCUAGAAGUUUCCAAUGUUCAUGCCUCAUCCGUUCUUGUAUCAAAUGAUUUAUUUCUGGAAUUACUAACAUCUUUUGGAGGCUGUGCCUAGUAGCAUAACUCUUCUCUCUAUCAUCAAACUAAGAUACAUUAUAGGAAAUAUGUGACUUUUGGUUCUGAUCCUUCAGUUUCUAUGUCAUCAUUAAAGCAUUGAUAGCUAUAGUAGACUUCUCUGAACAUUACAGUUAGCUCAUUACUAAUUUUUUUUCCAUGUCUCAUUUUACUCACAUGCUGCACAUUACUGAAUUCUUUUCCAUGUCUCAUUUUACUCACAUUCUGCAGGUCUGCAGCUAUCCAUUCACGACAAGAGGGAUUCUGAUGGGUCACAUUGUAUCCAAUCAUGAGCGUUUUCAGUGUCCUGCCUUGGAGGAGUGUCUUUCUGUGUGAGCUUUCUGCUACUGCCGAAGGUCGUCAACCGCGGCCUCUGCUCCAUCGCCCAGGCCGAGUCCCUCCGCUACAAGCUCCUUGGAGGCCUCGCCGUCCGCAGGCGAAGGACCGUAUCUGCAAGUUAGUCCAAAAUGGUGUUGACAGUGGUGCGCGUCUUUUGCUUGACGGGAGGGAUAUUGUGGUUCCGCAGUUUGAGGAUGGCAAUUUUGUUGGUCCGACCCUUCUGGCUGAUUAAGCCUGUUCACCGCGUGCUUCUACUUCUGCUGUUGGCCUGCCACGAGACAUGCGAGUGCAGCUUCUGCUUCUGUCUUCAUGAAUUUCUCAAGAAUUUUAUCCUGUUGUGUGAUGGAUUAAUUGGACGUGUUGGGAUUUGAUUGAUGGAAAACUACUCUGGCUUGCAUUGCGAUCGGUUGAGAAUGAAUUGAAUAUAUUUUGUACGUCGCAGAUUUUGAGUUUUCACACGUGCUUGGAUUUUGAGUUA